AGUAUUCGGCAUACAACACUGUCGUGUGCUAGUAGCUGACAUUAAUAGUCGCAAUUAGAGAACUAUAUCAGAAAACGUUUCAUGGCCAAAGAUGAAGUGUCCUAUUUGUCAAGAAAGUAUUUGAAAUGCCAUUUGCUGCUGGAUCAUUAGCCCCCUCAUCUUUUAGAAAAUCAAUAUGAUUAUAAUUAUGUGAGUGUCAAGAGUUUGUGAUUAUACUUGUACCCUUUUAUAGGCCCAUCCUUUGGGAGAACAUAUAAUUAUCUGCACUGCUGUCCUGUUUCAUUCUUGAACUGUGUGAUCUAUAGUGUGUUUCUCUUUUCCUGGUGAGUAUAUCAGGGUAAAGUUAAUAAUUGAGGAGCUGGAAGGGGAGGAAGCAGCUCUGAAGGAAGAUCAGUAUUCAGCAGAUAGAAAAUUUACUGAAUACUGCAACGUAUGAAACAAGCACAUACUUUUUGUUCCUGCACACUGAUACCAGCCAUAUUCUGUUCACAAUGAUAUAUAACAGUCUUUUUGCACAAAACUAGGUCUUAGAGCAGAUAUUGGGAGUUCUUAUAAAGCUGGUCAGAAAUUUGAAGUUGCAACAUACAUAUGUGUUGAAGCUUCUAUUAUAUAUUUGGAAUAUUUAUUUACGUUUUCAGCACUAGAAAAUUAUAAUAUGCUCUAAAAACGCUGUGUAUAAUUACCCCGUCUGCAUUUUUGUUGUGGAAUUUUCUUAAGCCUUUAUUGAACUAAUGAUCAUUAGGAUGAACUACAAAAGACAUUCUUGUGCAAAAGAUGCGAGACCAUAGAUGCAAAAUUGAGGAGCCUGGAGUAUGGUCUCCUUCACGACACAUAUUCUAAGGACUCCGUACCUGCCCUGCAUAAAAUAAGGAAAUACCUUGUUGAAGCAACAAAACAAGCUUCAAUCAUACAAGAUAAAGCGGUCACUCGCCUUCAAUAACAUUGCAAGGCAGUACCAUGAUAUUGUACAG